AACUAGCAUUAAGCCACUGAGACGUGAGGCAGAUCACCCAAAUUCUGUCAGGGAACAAGUUGCUCCAGAUAAUUCAAAUUAAUAGACUUUAAUGAAAGAACUCUCAGAUGUGUCAACAGAGUGGGAAGAGGCAUGGGGACAGGAAGCUGUCACCACCCCUACAACUAAAUGGACAACAGGAAUCAGAGCUCUGACUGGCGCCCAGGAGGAGCUGCCGGGCAGGAGCCCCAGCGAGAAACUGGCUCAGCCUUUGCCAGAUGUGCUGACAAAGCAGGGAACACCUUGACACGCCUGGAUACCGUGUCUCCAGAGACGCCUGGAUACCGUGUCUCCAGAGACGCCUGGAUACCGUGUCUCCAGAGACGCCUGGAUACCGUGUCUCCAGAGACGCCUGGAUACCGUGUCUCCAGAGCCGGCGCCCUCAUUAGCUAACCCCAGCAAUGGGGCCUCCCAGGAGUGCAGCUGAUGCAGUCCCUAAGAGCCAACCUCCUGGGACACCAAAGUUCAGUGAAGGGACAGAGUAGAUCUGGGAGGAGCUGCUCCGGUUUAUCUGUUGUGGCAACUAGAUUUAGUCACAGAUUUAAGCAGACUUUUAAAAAACACAGCCUCACUGGACUUAUGGAAAUCCUCCUGCCUUCACUCAGCCUCCUAAUCCUGGGACUAUAUACGUAUACCAUUGUGUCCAAUAGAGCAUUGAUCAUUUAAAUAAAAUUCAGGGCUUUUUUUCUUGUUUUACAUA